UACGAGGGGGGCAAGCGUUGUUCGGAUUCAUUGGGCGUAAAGGGUGCGUAGGUGGCGCCGUAAGUCAGGUGUGAAAUUUCGGAGCUUAACUCCGAAACUGCAUUUGAUACUGCGGUGCUUGAGGACUGGAGAGGAGACUGGAAUUUACGGUGUAGCAGUGAAAUGCGUAGAGAUCGUAAGGAAGACCAGUGGCGAAGGCGGGUCUCUGGACAGUUCCUGACACUGAGGCACGAAGGCCAGGGGAGCAAACGGG
rnacentral:rRNA from 1 species